GAUGAACGCUGGCGGCGUGCUUAACACAUGCAAGUCGAACGGAAAGGCUCCUGCUUGCAGGGGUACUCGAGUGGCGAACGGGCGAGUAACACGUGGGUGAUCUGCCACGCACUUCGGGAUAAGCCUGGGAAACUGGGUCUAAUACCGGAUAGGACCACUUCUUGGAGGUUGUGGUGGAAAGUUUUUUCGUGUGUGAUGAGCUCGCGGCCUAUCAGCUUGUUGGUGGGGUAAGUGCCUACCAAGGCGUCGACGGGUAGCCGACCUGAGAGGGUGUACGGCCACAUUGGGACUGAGAUACGGCCCAGACUCCUACGGGAGGCAGCAGUGGGGAAUAUUGCACAAUGGGCGCAAGCCUGAUGCAGCGACGCCGCGUGGGGGA
rnacentral:rRNA from 1 species